GUUGAUGCUGUCCGGAGGAGUUCCCGUCGCUAGUCCCCUACAGACCGCGAGAACGUGUGGUUUAUCUUUUGGUUUUCUUUAUCAGACUAGUUCUGUUUGAUGCACUUGGAUUAUGGUUUUUGUGUUAUGGAUAUUACACUGUCGAUGAUUUUCAUUCAUACUUGUUUUACUACAUGCCUGCCUAGAUGGCAGAAGAGCCACCACAGUGAACCCUGGGCUGAUUUCUACAGCCGACGCCGCUCGACGCCGCACCCCUCUUCCUCUUCUUCUCUCCGGCACCGAUUCCUCCAGGCCGAAGAUGUCGCGAGCCUAGCAUCGUCGAUUUUUCCUCCGACCCUCCAGGCCGAAGAUGCCGCGAGCCUAGCACCAAUCUAUCUCUCUGUUCAUCGGCAAGAACACACGGGUCCUGGCUUUGGGCAGCGCCACAAUGCCAGUUUUCAGAUAUCGAAUUCUUCUUCCUCUCAUUGAUCGGGAUUGGAGAUUAGGGAUUUCAAUCUGCUGCGGCUGAUCUUGGUUCAGCUGAGGGUUUAAAGGAGGAAGCUGUUAAGGACUUUGACACGAGACGAGUAUCUCGACGUCGGAUUUGGAC